CUGUGGGCCUUCUUCGGAAGCCCGCAAGAUAGCACCCUUUGCCUUUUUGAGUACCUUUGUUUCCUCGGCAGGCUCGCCUGCCAACGGGGACCUAUACAACCCUUUGCAGUAGUAUAACAAACGUCUGAUACACUUUAAUUAUCA
rnacentral:misc_RNA from 1 species